UAAGGAAUAUUGGGCAAUGGGCGAAAGCCUGACCCAGCAACGCCGCGUGCGCGAUGAAGGCCUUCGGGUCGUAAAGCGCUUUUCGGGGAGAUGAGGAAGGACAGUAUCCCCGGAAUAAGGUACGGCUAACUACGUGCCAGCAGCCGCGGUAAAACGUAGGUACCGAGCGUUAUCCGGAUUCACUGGGCGUAAAGCGCGUGCAGGUGGUUUGGUAAGUCGGGCAUGAAACCUCUUGGCUCAACUGAGAGACGCUGUCCGAUACUGCCGGACUUGAGGGCAUAAGAGGGAGGUGGAAUUCCGCAUGUAGUGGUGAAAUGCGUAGAUAUGCGGAGGAACACCAGUGGCGAAGGCGGCCUCCUGGUAUGCUCCUGACACUCAGACGCGAAAGCUAGGGGAGCGAACGGGAUUAGAAACCCCGGUAGUCCUAGCUGUAAACGAUGAUUACUAGGUGUUAGUGGUAUCAAGCCCACUAGUGCCGAAGCUAACGCGAUAAGUAAUCCGCCG
rnacentral:rRNA from 1 species